rnacentral:lncRNA from 1 species
CGAGGGAGAGGGUGCACGCUGAUUAAUUUUCCUUUCCUAUUGAACAUACAACUUUCCGUAUGAAAUAUUAUAGUUUAUUUACAUUUUGGAAUACCUGAGGAUGAAAUAGAAACAUUGUUUGACUUGUUUGGACGAAGUUUAGUGGUAGCUUUUUGGACUCCUUUGUCUGCAGGUUGAACGAGUGGAUUGCUGAAAUCGAUGGCUCCAACUAAACUGACUUUUUGGGAUAUAAAGAAGGAUUUUACCUAACAAAACGACCAUUCAUGUUGUAGCUGGGACCCUUGGAAUUGCAAACAGAGGAAGGUCUUCAAAAGUAAUGGAAUGACUUUUCCUGGACUCACCUAUACUCCCUCCACCUGGCUCUACAGU